rnacentral:ncRNA from 1 species
UCUUCGGGGGGUCGGUGUUACCGGCUGAGAUUGGGCGAUUGGACGCCCUGACCCGCAGACCUGAUACGGAUCAUGCCGUCGUAGGGAAAGAU